rnacentral:rRNA from 1 species
UACACACCGCCCGUCACACCAUGGGAGUUGGCUUUACCCGAAGGCGGUGCGCUAACCGGCAAUGGAGGCAGCCGACCACGGUAGGGUCAGCGACUGGGGUG